GGGUGCUGAGAGCGAAUAGCUCAGUAGACCUUGUUCAAUUUAGCUAUUCGUAAUUAAGCACUCUUGUAGACUUUAGGUCCUAGUCAUCCAGUAGUAAACUGCAAAAAGAAGAUCUUUUCCCAUUUUAUUCAUUUCUCUCUUUAUGUCAUCAUAACAUUUUACCACGAUUUCGCUAUGUCCUAUCACCCAUAUCGUCCUUAGCUGCAUAAAUAUAAACUACUACAGACAUAUGUACAUGCAGUGGAUUAACACAAAAAAGCUGUUUGAAGCCGACUUAAUUCUUAUAGAUCGCUUUACUAUUUUAACAUGAAUUUCGCUUAAAAAUUUUAUUUAUACAAAUAGUACUAAGCAAAUUGUCAUCCCCUAUAACCUAAUUACUUUGGAAGAAUAAUAUUGUGUAUAUAGUUGACAAAAUAAGAGUUUCCUUAACAGUAGAAACAAUUUGGAUAAAGUCCUUUAAGUUACCCCAAUUUCUUGAUAAACAAUAAUAGAAAUGUGAAAUAAAAGGAGAGCAGCUCAUCAGCAAAUGAGUUGCAGAAAAGUGUCAGAUACAAGAGGAAAUCAACGAAGUACAAAUGCUAAACUAACAACAACAAAAAAAUAAGCUUAGCAGCCUAAAAGAAUAGUACACACAAUUUAUAUACAAUAUAGUACAAUACAACCACAACAAAUACAAUUGACUGCGAAGAAAAGAAUAAUAAACAAUGCACAAUUUCAAUUUCAAUGGUCAUGACAGCGAAGAACGUUCACACACACACACACACACAGAAAUACAAAAAACACACAAACAUAUACAGCAAGUGCCCAGAUUACUGCCGUAGAUUCAUUACCUACUACACGCAUAUGGUAAAGGCCUACCACCCACACAACUACUGGUGGAACGUGCACUACGCCGUGCAACGCCGCGCUGCGUAUCCACAUCGGACCUCAUCCUUCGCUGCUCGGCGCUAGUGGGGAGCACACAAAAGACUAUCGCGCAAUCAACAAUGAAGAGAUACAAUUGUGACAACAACAAUAAUAACAACAAAAUAUAUAUAUAUACUUGAGAUAUUUCGCACAAUAAAGAAUGCCUCGUUGUUUGCGAAAUCAACGUGCUGACAGCGGCACUAACAACAAUCACAACAGAUAGUUUGCCAGCGACAAAUGACUUAAUGAGCAUCAUAAAUGUCGGCACACAAUUGAAGACAAUUUCGCGAUUUACUUGUAUUCAGUAACAGCGAGAGUGUAUUCACCGCUAUCGGUGGCAAACAGCAGCAACAAUACAAUUGUGGCAUUACAAAUCGUAGCGCUAUUGAAAGCAAAAGAAUAGCAAUUGGAUCCAAUUUAUUGUUGGGCAUUAAUUUGGCGACUUUUGAAGGUGGUUGAGGUAAAGGUUUCUCGGUUAUUGAAUAUUUGGUAAAUUCGUCCGGCGGCCUUCAAAUACUUCAAAUAUCUUCUAACUCGCACUCAAUUGGCAAAAGCGUUGCACUGAUAAGCAGAACAGUUCAAUUUUAUAAACGAAGUUGCGCUGGGCUAACAUGAAGGUAAGCUGACAAAAGUUCACAAUCUCGAAUUGGCCGACUGUAUAAAUCUCAACAGAUCGUCUGCAUAGUAACCUACAUGAAAUAUUGAGCAUGAGAAAGCUCUAGACGCGACGCUUUCCGCUUUUGUAGAUACUGGACAACAAGUAAUAAUACUUUUGAGGCAAUACACGAGCAGUUAGAAGGAUUUUCUGCAUCAUUUCAUGAACUUCUGCAAACCUUGGAAUCUGUGGUACACGCCAAACGCCAAGAAAUAGUAGAAAUAAUGGUCUUCACCCGAUGAACCUGCUCAGAAGAAGACGAAAACUGUCUUAUCCGCCGGAAAACUGAUGGUCACUGUUUUCUGGCAUACAUAAGAUGUAGCUCGAUCUAAUCGACUGCCUUGAAUACCUCGAUAAAGCCAAAACGCGACACAGGACUCUACUAAGGCGAAUUACUAUGCCGAUCAACGCCGAAAUGCACGCCUCCGCCUCCGCCGUCGCCAUAGCCAACUCGUCGACUUACGCUACGCAUUGUAUGCGCCUUCUUUUUCUGGAAAAACUUAAAAAAAAUUGCUAGUCGAGCAGAAAUACGAGAUGAAUGAGGAGGCUAAGAACUUAUCAGAU